AGACGUUUGUAGUCCUGGCUCAGGAUGAACGCCUGGCGGCGUGCUUAACACAUGCAAGUCGAGCGGAGCGACAUCGUUGGAAGCCUUCGGGAGGAAGAAGGUGUGGCUUAGCGGCGACGGGUGAGUAACGCGUGGACAACCUGCCCUAUGCAGGGGAUAACAUCCGGAAACGGGUGCUAAUACCGCAUAAGCGCACAGUACCGCAUGGUACGGUGUGAAAAGCUGAGGCGGCAUAGGAUGGGUCCGCGUUGGAUUAGGCAGUUGCGGGGUAACGGCCCACCAACCGACGAUCCAUAGCCGGCCUGAGAGGGUGGACGGCCACAUUGGGACUGAGACACGGCCCAGACUCCUACGGGAGGCAGCAGUGGGGAAUAUUGCACAAUGGGGGGAACCCUGAUGCAGCGACGCCGCGUGGGUGAGGAAGUACUUCGGUAUGUAAAGCCCUAUCAGCAGGGAAGAAGAUGACGGUACCUGACUAAGAAGCCCCGGCUAACUACGUG
rnacentral:rRNA from 1 species